rnacentral:tRNA from 1 species
AAGCAAGAAGUAAAUAAUUACACUUAGUUUCGACCUAACCCCAAUGAUGACCGCCCGCAUCCUUGCUUU